rnacentral:rRNA from 1 species
GAAUUUAAUAUUUAUAUAAUAAAAUAUUAUUAUUAAUUAAUUAAAAAUUUUUAUUAUGUAGAUAUUUUAUUGGGAGGAUAAUUAAAUUUUUUUAACUUUAAUUAAUAAAAAAUAUUAAUAAAUAGUUUUAAAGGUAAAGUGUGAAAAAUUAUUAUAGAAAGAAUUAAUUACCUUAGGGAUAACAGCAUGAAAUUUUUAGAGAGAUCUUAUUAAUAAAAAUAUUUAU